AUUGAACGCUGGCGGCAUGCCUUACACAUGCAAGUCGAACGGUAACAGGUCUUCGGAUGCUGGCGAGUGGCGAACGGGUGAGUAAUACAUCGGAACGUACCUAGUAGUGGGGGAUAACUACUCGAAAGAGUGGCUAAUACCGCAUGAGAUCUACGGAUGAAAGCAGGGGAUCGCAAGACCUUGUGCUACUAGAGCGGCCGAUGGCAGAUUAGGUAGUUGGUGGGAUAAAAGCUUACCAAGCCGACGAUCUGUAGCUGGUCUGAGAGGACGAUCAGCCACACUGGGACUGAGACACGACCCAGACUCCUACGGGAGGCAGCAGUGGGGAAUUUUGGACGAUGGGCGCAAGCCUGAUCCAGCAAUGCCGCGUGCAGGAUGAAGGCCUUCGGGUUGUAAACUGCUUUUGUACGGAACGAAAAGCCCUGGGUUAAUACCCUGGGGUCAUGACGGUACCGUAAGAAUAAGCACCGGCUAACUACGUGCCAGCCGCCGCAGUAAAAC
rnacentral:rRNA from 1 species